rnacentral:rRNA from 1 species
CCUACGGGAGACAGCAGUGGGGGAUAUUGCACAAUGGGGGGAACCCUGAUGCAGCGACGCCGCGUGAGUGAAGAAGCGCCUCGGCGCGUAAAGCCCUGUCAGCAGGGAAGAAAAUGACGGUACGUGAAGAAGAAGCCCCGGCUAACUACGUGCCAGCAGCCGCGGUAAUACGUAGGGGGGAAGCGUUAUCCGGAUUUACUGGGUGGAAAGGGGGCGCAGACGGCGCUGCAAGCCCGGAGUGAAAGCCCGGGGCCCAACCCCGGGACUGCUGUUGAAACUGCGUGGCUGGAGUGCAGGAGGGGAAGGCGGAAUGCGUGGUGUAGCGGUGAAAUGCGUAGAUAUCAGGAGGAACACCGGUGGCGAAGGCGGCCUGCUGGCGUGCAACUGACGUUGAGGCACGAAAGCGUGGGGAGCGAACAGGAUUAGAUACCCUAGUAGUC